AUGCAGAAGAUUUGUUUUUAGGGUUUGGGAGUGGGUUUAAGACGCUGCACAUAUAACCUACAAUACAAACUCUCGCUCUCACUUUGUAACUCAGGAUCUAUAGGAGGAAGAUGAGGCCACUAGAUGAGAAAGAAACUACCCAAGUGUUUGAGAAGCUGUUCAAUUUCACCGGAAAUAAUCUGAAGAACAUUGUGGAAGCCCCUUCUCACGAAGGCCCUGAAUCAAACCCCGGGCGAUAUUGCUUCCGCCUCAACAAGAACAGGGUAUAUUACGUUAGUGAGUCUCUUGUCAAGCGGGCCACCAACGUCAAGCGUGACAAACUCGUUUCUCUCGGUACCCAAAUUGGAAAAUUCACCAAAGGAGGAGCGUUUCAUCUGACAAUCCAGAGCUUGAAUUUGUUAGCUGCAAAUGCAAAACACAAAGUUUGGUUGAAACCCACGGCAGAAAUGUCAUUUAUGUAUGGCAACCAUGUUUUGAAAGGUGGGUUGGGGAGGAUUACUGAAAAUAUCAAUACCAAUGAUGGAGUUGUGGUCUUCUCUAUGUCGGAUAUGCCAUUAGGUUUUGGCGUUGCAGUCAAGUCCACUCAGGACUGUAGAAAAAUGGAUCCGAAUGGGAUUGUUGUAAUUCACCGAGCUGAUAUUGGGGAAUAUCUGAGGAUGGAGGACGAGCUUUGAAGUGUUUCAAAUAUCAAGGAUCAAAGGUUUUCCAGGAUUCCUAUUUAGUUUAAGUUUGGAAGUUGUAUAACAUGUUGCAGUUUUAAUAACUGAAAAUUCUAAAUUCUGUGUGAAGCAUUUUCUUUUACGUAGUAUUUACAAUUUUGAUAUAAAUGCUUAAGAUCUUGUUGAAUCCAGUGAAUGUUGUAGAGUAGAAAACUUUGCUUACAUACACCAUGAGAAAAAUUAUCGUAACAGGUUUACGUUGAGACAGACCAGGUUUACCUGGGGACACACCGUGAAGGAAAAACUCAGUGUGCUUAGUGUGAGCUUACUUGCCUGUGUUUAAAAGCAUCUACAAUGCGUGGCCUGUCGGACUAUGUAAGCUGGCCUGACCAUGUUUUUCUUCUUAUAUUGCAUUGGAGAGACUUCAUUUAUAGUGGGUGUGGAGUGACUGUGGACAGCUUGGUAGCCUCGGGCAUUUUUCUUUUUAUUUAUUUUUAUUUUUUAAUAAUGUGCGCUCUAGACUUUGUGUGACUUGGCAGUGCAUACAGUGCAUAUCUAUCAUCGCACUGUUUAGUUAGUAAUAUGCCAAAAAAUUGGGAAAUGGACCUUCACUGUUGUGGAUGCUUAACUGAUGCGACUGAAAGUCUGAAAUACACAGAUAAGGCAAGUGUGCUUUACUCUUUUUUUCACACUGGCCGUAUAUUUCAGUGUAAAUAACACUCAACGCCCAUACUAGUCCUAUUCGAGCUUUCUGAGAAACUGGCGAAAAACAACAUAUUAUCAACAGAGAGAUUACAUAUUAUCAACAGAGAGAUUUGCAUAAUAUUCUCAGCAGAUCGAGUUGGUCUUCAUCUGGGCUUUUCACAAUGUCGGGCUGUAAUGUGGAUCUUGAAAUGAAGAAGCAGCUACUUACAAGAAAGAUUGUUGCGAAACUUAGUGGGGAACAUUCUGCAGUUGCUUAUGCCAGUGUCAAGGCAUUGGUUGAUAAGGCAGUUGUGUUGGCCCCUCGUGGAGCUGAGAAUCAUGUACCAAUUACUGAGAUUCCUGUGUGCCGUAAUAGAAACUUUGGUGACAUGACCAGGGAAGCCCGUGUGUCGAAGAGGCUCAAGGCAACAACCAAGGAUCACUUGGAGAUUCCCAAGCAUGCUGAGUUGCAUGCGCGGGAAGAAUGGUAUGACAAGGGCUCUAAGGAUGGUCUCAUGCCGGGUCGCUAGCUGACUUGUUGUAGGGAGAUCUUGAUCCUCUAGCUAAAGUCCCUGUCACUUGUAGUGGCGAAGAAAAGGCGAUGGAAUUUGAUCCCGGGACCUUGUUUCACCAUAUGUAUUCUGGCAAACUUGAUGUCUUUGAUAGGCCUUGUGCCGGGACUAAGUUGCGUCGCCUCUUUUAUUUCCUUUCAGUUUCCUGUUCCGAUGUUAUAUAUUAAGUCAUGUUUAUAGAUCA